rnacentral:rRNA from 1 species
UACGGAGGGAGCUAGCGUUGUUCGGAAUUACUGGGCGUAAAGCGCACGUAGGCGGCUUUGUAAGUUAGAGGUGAAAGCCUGGGGCUCAACCCCAGAAUUGCCUUUAAGACUGCAUCGCUUGAAUCCGGGAGAGGUGAGUGGAAUUCCGAGUGUAGAGGUGAAAUUCGUAGAUAUUCGGAAGAACACCAGUGGCGAAGGCGGCUCACUGGACCGGUACUGACGCUGAGGUGCGAAAGCGUGGGGAGCAAACAGG